rnacentral:rRNA from 1 species
GAUCGAGGACUUAACC